rnacentral:lncRNA from 1 species
CUACACUCUAUUUCGGAUCAAUUUGAUGUUAUUUGUCAAAAAACUAGCUUUUCUUUCAAAAACAAGGACAUUUCUAAGUGACCCCAAACUUCUGAACGGUAGUGUAGGUAUUUUACACAGUACACAAUGUGUGUUCUCCUUCUUCUCUGCAGGAGACCCUCAUCAAACACCUCUCGAAGAGAUAUUACGAGCUUCAGAUAUACACCCUUAUUGCUCUCAAUCCCUUUCAAACUCUAAGCAUCUACUCGGAACAGGUUAGUUUAUGACAGCAGUGUCAUUGUGUGUCAUAAUUCCUGUGAAUACCUCUGUAAAGACAGAACGGUAUUGAUAUUGUAAUAUGGUGUGUUUGCUCACAGUUCUCUAAGGUGGAGCGAGCCGACAGUCCUCCACACAUCUUUGCUGCUGCUGAUGCAGCAUACCAGGGCAUGAUGACCUUCUGCAAAGACCAGGCACCUUGUGUGUGGAAGUAAUAUUUAGUGAUCUGCAGUUUUAUAUGGAUAAUAUUAUCAUUGGCAUUUCUUUGUGAAAUGAUCUCGUUUAUAGAUCUAGUGAUGCGUUUGUUUGAGACAUCCCGGUGACAAAGUUGUUGUUGAUGUGUCCCUGUGUUUCAGUGGAGAGAGUGGAGCUGGGAAGACAGUGCCCAUCUGAUUGUCCAGCAUCUCACCUGCAUGGGAAAGGCAAACCAUCGGGACUCUGCGAUAGAAGAUCCUCCAGGGGCCUGCUCUGUCCCUCAGCUUCGGCCUUGCUCUGCAUCGGCCCUGAGGUGCUCAUGGAGGCCCUGGCGUCCCGCUGUGUGGUAACCCGGGGAGACACCUUCAUCCACACCAGUACUGUAGACAAAGCCGGGACGCCAUGUCCAAGGCUCUGUACGGACACCUCUUCAGCUGGAUAGUCAACCGCAUCAAUGCCCUACUGCAGCCUGAUAUGAAUAACUAGUAAGUGUAAGGCACUGGUUCUCGCUCUCUGGUCCCUCUUGUCUUUGGUUGUUGCACUCUGCUUCAGAUG